rnacentral:rRNA from 1 species
GCAUAUCAAUAAGCGGAGGAAAAGAAACUAACAAGGAUUCCCCUAGUAACGGCGAGUGAAAGCGGGAAAGAGCUCAAAUUUGAAAUCUGGCAGUCUUCGAUUGUCCGAGUUGUAAUCUAUAGAGGCGUUUUCCGUGCCGGACCGUGUCCAAGUCUCCUGGAAAGGAGUAUCAAAGAGGGUGAUAAUCCCGUACUUAACACGACCACCGGUGCUCUGUGAUACGUCUUCUACGAGUCGAGUUGUUUGGGAAUGCAGCUCAAAAUGGGUGGUGAAUUCCAUCUAAAGCUAAAUAUUGGCGAGAGACCGAUAGCGAACAAGUACCGUGAGGGAAAGAUGAAAAGCACUUUGGAAAGAGAGUUAAACAGUACGUGAAAUUGUUGAAAGGGAAACGAUUGAAGUCAGUCGUGUUCUUUGGAUUCAGCCAGUUCUGCUGGUCUACUUCCUUUGAACGGGUCAACAUCAGUUUUGUCCGGUGGAUAAAGGCAGUAGGAAUGUAGCUUCUCCGGAAGUGUUAUAGCCUAUUGUCACAUACACUGGGUGAGACUGAGGACUGCAGCUCGCCUUUAUGGCCGACCUUCGGGUACGUUCGAGCUUAGGAUGUUGACAUAAUGGCUUUAAACGACCCGUCUUGAAACACGGAC